UGGGGAAUAUUGCACAAUGGGCGCAAGCCUGAUGCAGCCAUGCCGCGUGUAUGAAGAAGGCCUUCGGGUUGUAAAGUACUUUCAGUCGGGAGGAAGGUGUCAAGGUUAAUAACCUUGGCAAUUGACGUUACCGACAGAAGAAGCAUCGGCUAACUCCGUGCCAGCAGCCGCGGUAAUACGGAGGGUGCAAGCGUUAAUCGGAAUUACUGGGCGUAAAGCGCACGCAGGCGGUUGAUUGAGUCAGAUGUGAAAUCCCCGGGCUUAACCCGGGAAUUGCAUCUGAUACUGGUCAGCUAGAGUCUUGUAGAGGGGGGUAGAAUUCCAUGUGUAGCGGUGAAAUGCGUAGAGAUGUGGAGGAAUACCGGUGGCGAAGGCGGCCCCCUGGACAAAGACUGACGCUCAGGUGCGAAAGCGUGGGGAGCAAACAGG
rnacentral:rRNA from 1 species